UCCCGUCCCGUCCCGUCCCAAGGAGCAUCCCCUGCGCUGGAGAGGAGGAGGAGGCAGCGCCCUCCGCCCGGGCGAAUUCUGCGCUCGAAAGGUGAUGCAGGAUGCCAGAGCCGAGCGCUGAUCCCCGCAGGGAAUUCUUCACAGCAUAGAAUCGUAGAAUGGUGUGGGUUGGAAGGGACUUUAAGGAUCAUCUAGUCCCGAUUCCUCUGCCACUAGACCAGGUUGCUCAAAGCCCCAUCCCGGUGUAUACUCGUUGCUCAAGCGAAGUGAGAAAAGCUUUGUCUCAUGCAGUCGCUUAUCUCCUCCGUGUUUGUCCUAGGAAGAUUUUUGAGGAUAGCGGCAUUUCAAAAAGUCUUUUUCAUUUUUAAGUGAUCUGACUCAUCCUUUCACAUGGAAAUUUCCUGAAGAUCCCUACUGAUACUGAGGUGUUUAGAUUCUGGCUGAGAUCCUGUUUUUCCUGCUGUCACACUGGGAAUGUAAUGAUAGACUUGCUCAGAUCUACUGGUGAUGAGUGCCACCACCAUGGAAACCAACAGCCUUUGAAAUCCUCUGUGUGUUCUGCCAGCAUCAAACAACCCUUCCUUGUUAGCAUGUGCCACACUCUAGUGUUUAAAUUGAUCAAAGAUAAUUGAAGAGUACAAGGGAAAGAAGAAGAAAAUAGGGAAGGAGAGAUAAAAUAACAAGGAAGAGGACGGCCUACCUGUGGUGAAAGAUUUUCUUGAGGGAACUUAAUUAAUGAAUCAAGCUGAAUCUCCUGCAUCAAAAAACAGUGUAGUUGCAUCAAUUGGCUAAAAUGUUCUGAUUUAUUUUACCUUGGCAUCCACUGGACGUGCUGCCUGCAGCACCACCACCUGAGCCCUGACAGCUGACAGAAGCAAUAAAACAGCUGGAGGAGCAGGAAGAGGGUAUGUUGCAUGAACCUGGGCAUUACUUAAGAGACAUGACUUGUAGAUUUGUCAUUGACAGGCAUUUCAGAGCAUUUAUGAAGCCCACUGGCCCACAGGAGGUCAAUUAAUGUUGCUCUGUAAUGCCAUUCUAGCUCUGUGUAUUCACCAUGUCUCUGUGUAUUUAUGCUUCUCAGUGUUUGUGUGCUCUUUCCAGGAAGGUUUAUCUUUGUUUUUAGGACUGUAUUGUGAUUUUCCAAGAAGAAGGAAGUGAGUUUUGCUUUUCUUUCUGUUGACUCCUUGAAGGUCUCAAAUGUAUGUUGAGUAUUCGUUGAAAGCCCUGUGUUCCUUCUAAAAAGUCUUUAAAACUUUAGAAUAUUUCAGUAGGAAGUGACUUAGAAGGAUCAUCUAGUCCAAGUGCCAGUGACAACAAAUGCCAGCACAGUUUGCCCAUGAAAAGGCUUGGAUAUGUGGGCAUAUUACAGCACUGAAAAGAAGAGAGAUCUCUAUAAUUAUGACCUGUACCUAUAUGCUGUCUUAAUUAA